GAUCGUCAAUUAAGGUCCCAAAGAUAUAGCUAAGUGGAAAACGAUGUGAUUUUGCAUAAACAACCAGGAUGUUGGCUCAGAAGCAGCCAUUCAUUCAAAGAGUGCGUAAUAGCUCACUGGUCGAGUGAAGUUGCGCGGAAAAUUACCGGGGCUAAGCUAUACACCGAAAUUGCGGAUUUAUAUUUGAAAGACAAUGUAAGUGGUAGAGGAGCAUUCUGUAGUAGGAAGAAGCAUGACCGUAAGGACAUGUGGACGAAGCAGAAGAGAGAAUGCUGGAAUAAGUAGCGAGAGGAUGGUGAGAAUCCAUCCCGUCGAAAAUCUAAGGUUUCCCAGGGAAGGUUCGUCCGCCUGGGGUAAGUCGGGACCUAAGGAGAGGCCGAAAGGCGUAUCUGAUGGAUAGCAGGUUGAAAUUCCUGCACUACGAAUAUACUUAAAAGAUUCAAGGGACGCAGAAGUGGAAGAUAACCAAGUAAGAGGAAAAGCUUGGCUCGCAAGAGGGAGUGAAAAUUAAAAGUAACGAAGUAUCAAGAAGCACGCUGACGAGAAAAGCUUGAAGAUAUUGUAUAUAAGUACCCGUACCGCAAACCGACACAGGUAGAUGAGGAGAGGAUCCUAAGACGAGCGGGAGAAGCAUUGUUAAGGAACUCGGCAAAUUGACCCCGUAACUUCGGAAUAAGGGGUGCCUAUGUAAAAGUAGGCCGCAGAGAAUAGGCCCAAGCAACUGUUUAACAAAAACACAGGUUUCUGCUAAAUCGAAAGAUGAAGUAUAGGAGCUGACGCCUGCCCAGUGCUGGAAGGUUAAGGGAAAGAGUUAGGGUUAAACCGAAGCUUAGAACUGAAGCCCCAGUGAACGGCGGCCGUAACUAUAACGGUCCUAAGGUAGCGAAAUUCCUUGUCAGGUAAGUUCUGACCCGCACGAAAGGCGUAAUGAUUUGGGCGCUGUCUCGACAAUGUCCCCGGCGAAAUUGUAGUACUAGUGAAGAUGCUAGUUACCUGCGAUAAGACAGAAAGACCCCAUGGAGCUUUACUGCAGUUUGAUACUGGGUUUCGAUGAUUUAUGUACAGGAUAGUUGGGAGACUAUGAAAGAGAGGCGUCAGCUUCUCCGGAGUCGUUGUUGGGAUACCAACCUUAAGUUAUUGAAAUUCUAACUUGUAAUCGUAAACCGGUUAGAGGACAAUGUCAGACGGGCAGUUUGACUGGGGCGGUCGCCUCCUAAAGAGUAACGGAGGCGCCCAAAGGUUUCCUCAGCGCGGACAGAAAUCGCGCGAAAGAGUGCAAAGGCAGAAGGAAGCUUAACUGAGAGACAGACAUGUCGACCAGAUACGAAAGUA
rnacentral:rRNA from 1 species